rnacentral:misc_RNA from 1 species
GUGAAUCAUCGAAUUUUUGAACGCAAAUUGCACUCUCUGGUAUUCCGGAGAGUAUGCCUGUUUGAGGGUCAGUUUAAAUAAAAAUCGGUGUGGUUGCUGCCUUUCGUGGUGACGCACCGGAGGUUGGGUCUUCUUAGCUUUAGGUUAAGAGUCUUAAAAUUGAUAUCUUUUUUGCGCGCUUUUAGACGUACAUAAUUUUUUUUAUUCGCCUAUUCCGGUGCCAAAAUUUACUAGGUACGAUUAUCUUGUGCCUAUAAUUUCUCAUCUUUUGACCUCAAAUCAGGUAAGGACACCCGCUGAA